rnacentral:lncRNA from 1 species
AGCAAAUGACUUUAAAAUAGUAGCAAAAUUAACAAUAAAACAAGUAUGAUACAAUAUUUAAACACUAACAAUAAAAGAGUAACAAAACAGUGGUAAAAAGUGGGAAAACAAUAGCAAAACAUGAAAAAACAAUAAUAAAAUAGCAUGAGUUUUUUAUUGCAAAUUCGGGUCGGCCUGAGCCCAGGUAAAAAAACCUUACCCGAGGCCUGAUUCAUUUUCUAAACAGAUCUUAUUUUUUACUCAAACCUAUUUUUCGAGUCUAUAUUUUUUUUCAAACUCUUUUAUUUUUAGGCGUGCUUUCGAGCUGGGCCAUAGACAACUUUAGGGAAGAGAAGAGAAGAAAAAGUGAAGAGAAGAGAAGAGAAGAAAAAUGAUUGAGAAAUGGAGGGGAUGGAAAAGUGAAAUGGAGAAUUGUCGCUCUCAAAUGGCAGCGCCAAUAAAAUUCUGCAGUUAUUAUGAGUCCCUUUCACCCCAUUCUCUUUUUCCUCUUCAUCUCUUCUGUUCUUCUUAUGUCCAUGGAAAUCAGAAAGGAGUGGUUUUUUGCCCACACAAAUUACUU